UACGUAGGGUGCGAGCGUUGUCCGGAAUUACUGGGCGUAAAGAGCUCGUAGGUGGUUUGUCGCGUUGUUCGUGAAAACCGGGGGCUUAACCCUCGGCGUGCGGGCGAUACGGGCAGACUUGAGUACUGCAGGGGAGACUGGAAUUCCUGGUGUAGCGGUGGAAUGCGCAGAUAUCAGGAGGAACACCGGUGGCGAAGGCGGGUCUCUGGGCAUUAACUGACGCUGAGGAGCGAAAGCGUGGGGAGCGAACAGG
rnacentral:rRNA from 1 species